GUGCAGCGGAGCGAGCGCUGGCUGGCCGGACCUGGCCGCUGGACGCUGCCCUGGGUACGGGCGGCCGUCACGCGCCCGCCGACGGUGAACCUGACACCGCAGGGGAAUGGGGUCGGUGAACUGACGCCGCAGGGAGGGGGCGGAGAGCACGCCCGGCCAUUGUUCGGGAUUAAGAGGCUGAGUCAGUCGGGAGUCAGGGCUGAGACUGGAAGGUGUUGUUGAGCGUUCUGUGGUGUGGCCGAGGUGGUGCAGAAGACCGUGCUUUGUCUGACUUUGUAAGUUCGGAAUACUCACUUUUUUCUUGAGACCUUUGGAUUUGCCGGGCGGACGAACUGUGGUGAUCAGAGACAACUCCUACAAGCUAUUUCGGCACCUAAUAUCAUGGCCAGUUUUGAUGUCAAAUUAAUUCCGGAAUUCGACGGCUCCGGUGACGUGCUCGACUGGCUGGAGAAGGUCGAGCUAGUGUGCGGGCUGCAGGAGCCGCCAGUGAGGCAGACGCUGGUGAUACCCCUGCGGCUGAAAGGAGGAGCAUCUGCUGUGUAUCGGCAGCUGGUGGAGGCUGACAGGAAGGACGUGGUGAAGCUCAAGGAUGCGCUGAAGCGUGCGUUUGCGGUGGAUAAAUACGCUGCGUAUGAGCAGUUCAGCACCCGCCGUCUCCGCCCCGGGGAAACAGUUGAUGUUUUCUUGGCGGAGCUGCAGCAGCUUGCGACGCUGUUCGGAGGAAUGUCGGACGAGGGCCUGGGGUGUGCCUUUGUGGCAGGUCUGCCGGACUCUACCAGGCAGAUACUGCGAGCUGGAGCGCGCAUGGAGUCGUUAAAGCUCUCGGAGGUGGUGGACAGGGCUCGCGCCAUCUUGCGAGAGGAGAACGGCGCAUCGGAGGUGGCAGCCGCGCUGGUCAAAGAGUCACCAGGCGGUCGGGAUCGCGGCCGAACCGUCAGUAGCGGCAGGAGAGAGCGCGGACCUUGCUUUACGUGCGGCCGCCUGGGGCAUCUCGCCCGUGAAUGUUCGGCCCGCACUGGCCCCCGCGAAAUCCGGUGUUUCCGGUGCGACAAGACUGGUCACAUCGCAGCUCGGUGUCCGGAAAACGCGGAGAGAGAGGAGGAUCGUGUGCCGGCCUCCUCUCGGGAUUAAGAUGGAGCGGCGCACUACCAACGAGACACCUGAAUGUGAACGGGGUGUUGUGUGAGGUGUUGAUCGACACGGGAUGUACCAGAACGGUGGUUCAUUCGUCGCUCUGCGCCGAGUGGAAGAGGCGUUCUGUGUCCAUGGUGACAGUUAGUGGUCAGAGAGUGGACUGUGCGGGCACGGCUGAAACCGAUGUUGGGGUACCUGGGGGUGAUGCUGUGGUGCUUGAUGCGUUGGUUGUAGCGGUGAAGCCGCUGGGUUUCGGUGCAAUUUUAGGAAUGGAUGGUGUGAAAGCUCUUGGGGGUGUGACCGUGCGUUCUUCUACUGAUGUGCGAUUUGCAGGCGAGGGAGACGUGUGCGCCGGAGCAGGAGGCUCCGUGGACCUAGCGGUGGAAAAGGAGGACUUUCGAGUCGUGUUCGAUGCGAGGGAAAGGCGCUGGACUGUCGAGUGGAAGUGGUCGGGAAAGAAACCGCCAGAUCAACUGAAAAACGGAGUGAGCGAGUACCAUGUGACGGAUGAAGCGAGAGAGGACUAUGAGAGAGAGCUGGAGACGUGGAUCGAGAACGGGUGGCUGCUGGAGUACGACGAAGAAAAGCAUGGCGCUCCCAAAGGGCUGAUACCGUUAAUGGCGGUGGUUCAAGAGAACAAGGCGAAAGUGCGGCCGGUCCUUGAUUUCCGGGAAAUGAACACUCACGUCGACACGUUCACGGCGGACGUUGACGUGUGCAGUGAGAAGCUUCGUGAAUGGCGCCGGACGGGUGAGAAAGUGGCACUCCUGGAUCUGAAGAAGGCGUACCUUCAGAUACAUGUGGAGGAGUCACUGUGGCCCUAUCAGACAAUCGAGUUCAAAAACAAAAGGUACUGUCUGACGAGACUUGGGUAUGGUCUUAAUGUGGCACCCCGAGUCAUGAAGACGGUUCUGGAGACAGUGGCGAAGCAGGACAAGAACGUGGAGAAGGCAGUAUCGUCGUAUGUCGAUGACGUUCUGGUCAACGAGGAGGUAAUGUCGGCCGAGAAGGUGGCCGAGCACCUUCAAGCCUUCGGUCUCGAGUGUAAGGACCCCGCUCGCGCACAGGAAGGCGCUCGGAUUCUCGGCCUCCGAGUCUGGGGGGAGCAAGGCGCACUCAUGUGGAAGAGAGACAACGAUGUCCGAGAAGUUGCCGGACCGGUGACAAAGCGGAAAGUGUUCUCCCUCUGCGGGCAGCUGACGGGGCACCUUCCGGUGUGCGGCUGGCUGCGGCCGGCGACCUCGCUCCUCAAACGACGUGCGAACAGAGCAGCAAGUGGCUGGGACGACGAGAUUGACGACCCGGACGUGGAGCGUCUAAUGGACGAAAUUGUGAAGCGGGUCAGAGCAGAGGAUCCUGCCAGGGGACGGUGGGAUGUGAAGGGCGACAGAAUCACAGUGUGGACGGAUGCCAGUGCUCUGGCCAUGGGAGUAGUUGUUGAAGUGGGUGACGAAGUAGUGGAAGACGGGAGCUGGCUUCGCCCCGACAAUGGAGUACAACACAUCAACAUGGCAGAGCUAGACGCAGCCCUGAAAGGCGUGAACAUGGCCAUCCUGUGGGGCGCGGAAAGAGUCCGGUUGAUGACUGACUCACGGACGGUGUACCACUGGAUCACCGACCUCCUCAGUGGCAGGGCCCGACUGAAGACGAAAGCUGCCUCUGAAAUGUUGAUAAGAAGAAGGCUAAGCACCCUCAGGAUGCUCGUGGACGAGUACGAGCUGGACGUGAAUGUUCAGUGUGUCUCGUCGGCUGAGAACAAAGCGGACGCACUGACGAGAGUGCCGGACGCCUGGCAACGGGUGCUUAUGUGCAAAGAGGAGGCUGCAGCAUGCGCUGUGGGAGACGGAGACGACCCCGACAGGCUGGUGAAAGAGGUGACCCAAAUUCACCACGCUUCUGGUCAUCCUGGUGUCCGGAGGACGCUAUACUUCGCUAGGAGGGCGAACAAGCUCGCUACGAGACGACUUGCGCAGGCCGUGGUGUCGGCCUGUCAGACGUGCAGGUCUGUUGAUCCCGCUCCUGAAAAGUGGCGCGAAGGCCGCCUGGAGGUCGACACCACGUGGGACAGAGUCGCCGUCGACGUGACUCACCAUCAUGGGUGUCUGUACCUAACGGUGGUGGAUUGCGGCCCAUCCAGGUUUGCGAUCUGGCGUCUCCUGCGGUACGAGACCGCCGCAUGCGUCAUUGCGGAGCUGGCGGCGAUAUUCUGCGAGCGGGGACCGCCGGCAGAAAUGUUGCUGGACAAUGCCACCACCUUCCACAGCAGGGCGUUUAGAGCUUUCGCCAACGACUGGAACGUCGCAGUGCGAUACAGGGCGGCGCAUGUGCCGUCAGGGAACGGAGUCGUCGAAAGGAACCAUCGCUCCAUAAAGGUGAUUGCGACGAGAGCGAAAUGUGGGGUGGCAGAGGCAGUAUACAGGUACAAUACAACGCCGAAGGACGAUGUCACUGAAGCUACGACACCUGCUGGUAUGGUGUAUCGGUACGACGUCCGAGUGAAAGACGUCGACCCCGUUCCGACAGUGAGGGACGAUGGACAGCAGGAGAGCCGCUACCACGUCGGAGAUGCUGUCUGGGUGAAAUCACCGAGAGCACGCUGUGACGAGCAGUAUGGCAGGGGAGUGGUGACUGGUGUGGUGUCACCGCAAACUAUCGAAGUUGACGGUGUACCAAGGCAUGUCCGUCAUCUGCGUCCGCGUGCAGACGAGGCAGAGCAACCAGUUUCCGCAGAGGCAGAGCAACCAGUUUCUGGGGAUGAGGAGCCCUGCUUUGUACGGUGUCCCAUCGACCGGCAUGACCGAGACGACCAGCAAGACCAACAGGAAGAAGCUGCGAGUGACACAGAGGCUGGGCCGAGGCGAGGUACGCGGGCUCGGCCUGUCACGCAGUUGUACGGAGACCCCGUGCCGAGCGAUGUCUUAGAUACCUACGUAUGAGCGUUGUUAGCGUGUGAUGUGAGCACUAGCGUCUGUUGGUUGCGAUCAGGAUCGGGGGGGAGUGUAGUGGAAUGUAGUGGUGCAGCGGAGCGAGCGCUGGCUGGCCGGACCUGGCCGCUGGACGCUGCCCUGGGUACGGGCGGCCGUCACGCGCCCGCCGACGGUGAACCUGACACCGCAGGGGAAUGGGGUCGGUGAACUGACGCCGCAGGGAGGGGGCGGAGAGCACGCCCGGCCAUUGUUCGGGAUUAAGAGGCUGAGUCAGUCGGGAGUCAGGGCUGAGACUGGAAGGUGUUGUUGAGCGUUCUGUGGUGUGGCCGAGGUGGUGCAGAAGACCGUGCUUUGUCUGACUUUGUCGGACGUGUUGGGCCACAUCCUGCCCAUCGUCGGCCAAAACUGGGCGCAGAGCGGCGUGGCGGCGCUCUACUCCAAGAUCCGUGACAACGGCUACAAGUUCCUCUACCUCUCGGCACGGGCCAUCGGUCAGGCGCCCAUUACCCGCGAGUACCUGAAGUCGGUGCGCCAGGGUGAUCUGAGUCUGCCCGACGGACCGCUCCUGCUCAGCCCUUCGUCUCUAGUCAGCGCUCUGCACAGGGAGGUGAUCGAGCGCCGCCCGGAGGACUUCAAGAUCCCGUGUCUGCGUGACAUCCAGGCGCUGUUCCCGGGCCGGAACCCUCUGUACGCCGGCUACGGCAACCGGGUGAACGACGCGUUCGCGUACCGAGCCGUGGGCAUCCCGUCGUCGCGGAUCUUCACCAUCAACCACCGCGGCGAGCUGCGUCACGAGCUGACACAGACCUUCCAGUCCUCCUAUACAAAUCUGACUCACAUUGUGGACCACUUUUUCCCGCCUUGUGGUGAUCGCGACGACGUGGCUAACCUAGACUACAACUCGUUCGUGUACUGGCGGGACCCGAUCCCGGAGCUCAGCGAGCUGCCUCAGCUGUGACCUGGCUACGGGCCGUGCCGGACUCGUGUCGCGUUCAGUGCCGUGUGCGCGCGGUGCUCACAGGGGUGUGAUAGUGAGCGCCUGUGGAGCCGCCCUGGCGCCGCGAGCCAUGUCUGAAGUCGGGACCACUGCCGUUGGCCGCGCCGCCGCCGCUACGCGCGCCAGUCACUCCGUUACCGAUGUGCCGUGUUUGGGCAGACAGGCCGAGUCUGCCGCUCGUCAGUCACUGUGGUGUUCUAGCUGUUACCGUGUAUGUAUUUCCACUGUGAACGCGCCGUAGGAGGCGGCGCGUUUCAAACGCCUUGCCGGUCGCGCCAUGCCGACUAUGAUCGGCAGAGGGUCGGUGGGCAGGAUUCGGGGAGAAAUUAUUUUUCACGCAGACGGUAGAUGUGUAGAGUGUCGAUGUGGGCUUCCGUUGCUACCCGGUAUGCUGUUACGUCUGACGGUCCUUGGCUGGAGCUGUAGCCGUUCCUCGGUUGGAGCUGUAGCCGUUCUCGGUUGGAGACGCUGCUCGGUUAGAGUUGUGGCCGGUCCUCGGUUGGAUUAUGUUGGUUCGGCGCACUGUUGUAGGUGCCCGCCUCCGCCCGGAGCGGGCGCCGCCUGGCUGUGUGAGAGCUGUUUGAGCGCAGGGUACGUCUGGAGCGGGUCCAUCGUGUUUGCCGGUCGCCGCCGCGCGCCAACCCAGAGCUGGUUACUCGCAGGUAGCACGCGCCCGCUCGUUUUGUUGUAUGUCCGCCGCGGGAAGUCGGUUUGGUUCCUGUAGUCGGCCGUUUACCAAUGUGUUAUCACGUCUAGUCGGGUGGGUCGGGCCGGGGCGCCAUUGCUCUCGGGCAUAGUACAAUCGCGGCGCUCGGGGCCGUGGAGAAGUGAGGGACGGCAAUGCCACUCAAACCUGCUGUUGGCUGCGACUCGCGGCUUAUUCCUGGCUUUGUUAAUGUUUUAUGACUCCAUGAAAUAAAGAACGCUGCCAA
rnacentral:misc_RNA from 1 species